rnacentral:rRNA from 1 species
GUGCCAGCAGCCGCGGUAAUACGGGGGGGGCAAGCGUUGUUCGGAAUUACUGGGCGUAAAGGGCUCGUAGGUGGCCACCUAAGUCCGACGUGAAAUCCCUCGGCUCAACCGGGGAACUGCGUCGGAUACUGGGUGGCUUGAAUCCGGGAGAGGGACGUGGAAUUCCAGGUGUAGCGGUGAAAUGCGUAGAUAUCUGGAGGAACACCGGUGGCGAAGGCGGCGUCCUGGACCGGUAUUGACACUGAGGAGCGAAAGCCAGGGGAGCAAACGGGAUUAGAAACCCGCGUAGUCC